rnacentral:rRNA from 1 species
GACGAACGCUGGCGGCGUGCCUAAUACAUGCAAGUCGAGCGAUGAAGCUUGGUGCUUGCCCCAAUUUGAAGAGCAGCGAACGGGUGAGUAACGCGUGGGGAAUCUGCCUUUGAGCGGGGGACAACAUUUGGAAACGAAUGCUAAUACCGCAUAACAACUUUAAACAUAAGUUUUAAGUUUGAAAGAUGCAAUUGCAUCACUCAAAGAGGAUCACGCGUUGUAUUAGCUAGUUGGUGAGGUAAAGGCUCACCAAGGCGAUGAUACAUAGCCGACCUGAGAGGGUGGUCGGCCACAAUGGGACUUGAGCACGGCCCAAACUCCUACGGGAGGCAACAGUAGGGGAACUUCGGCAAUGGACGGAAGUCUGAACGAGGAACGCCGCGUGAGUGAAGAAGGGUUUCGGAUCGUAAAACUCUGUUGGUAGGGAAGAAAGUUGGUGAGAGUGGAAAGCUCAUCAAGUGACGGUAACUACACAGAAAGCGACGGCUAACUACGUG